CAUUUAUUAUUUACUGCUUAUGAGCAUUGAGUGUGGUCAAGCUGUGUAGACCCUUAGGAGCUUGUCAUGUGGUUAAAUCAAGAUUUCACUUGCACGUUCACUCAUAUAUGCUACUUCUACUCCGGAAGUACCAUCCUCAUAUAUCCACCCAUUCCAUCUCCAGAAUCACCCAAAAAUAUUCUACUCCUAAUCCGAGAGAGAAUAACCAAAAAUAUUUCUGUUUUCCCCUUGUGAAAUAAAUGCUCAAGUUAUUUUGUUACUACCACUUGCUAUAUUAUCUCAAGAGAUGAAUGCUCUAAAAAAAAGAGAGAGAAAUGAGGAAAUAAAAAGGAGCAAGUGCUCGGAACCUCGAAAGAAAAGAAAAAGUGAGACGAGAGGUAAAAAUGGACAAGUGUUCGACAGUAGAAAUUAGGGGUACAAGAUACCCACCUGAGAGACAAGAAAAAGAAGAGCAUCUCAUUCUCCUCAUAAAGUUUCAAAAGCAAGGAAGGUAUGUAUCCCCUCAAAGAGCAAAAGUAGAAUUAGACUUCCACCUCCAUUGUUUUCACCAUUGUUAUCACCAUCAUCACCAUACACCAUUCAUUCGCCACACAUGCACAUCUUGAUUAAACUUAUUGACUUGUUACUUUGGAUCCAUGGUUUGACUAUGCAAUAAAUGUCUUGUAAGUAUGUAUAUUUUAUCUCCCACCUAUGAGCUCCAGAUAUUAAAGCCUUAUUAGAGUAGG
rnacentral:lncRNA from 1 species